UACGUAGGCAGCAAGCGUUGUUCGGAAUUACUGGGCGUAAAGAGUGUGUAGGCGGUGCUCUAAGUCUGUUGUGAAAUCUCCCGGCUUAACCGGGAGGGUGCGGCGGAAACUGGAGUGCUUGAGGGUGGGAGAGGUAAGCGGAAUUCCUGGUGUAGCGGUGAAAUGCGUAGAUAUCAGGAGGAACACCUGUGGUGUAGACAGCUUACUGGACCACUUCUGACGCUGAGACACGAAAGCGUGGGUAGCAAACCGG
rnacentral:rRNA from 1 species